rnacentral:rRNA from 1 species
GUCGCGUUUGACAAGCUGUAUGCCAUGAAUGGCAUGGGAUUCCGCAAGCUUAAUGAAGCGCUACUCUUCCUACUGCCCAAGAAGCAAGAUGCGUCUACUAUUUUGGACUAUAGACCGAUUAGUCUAAUACACUUGGUUGCCAAACUCUUCUUCAAGGUAUUAUCACUACGGCUAGCGCCACACCUCGGUGACCUAAUCUUUGCGAACUAGAGCGCGUUCAUCGUGAGGAGGAGCAUCCACAACAACUUCCUCCUGGUCCAGCAAAUCGCGAGACUGCUUCACAACCUCAAAGCACCGCGCGUCCUUCUCAAACUAGACAUUGCCAAGGCCUUCGACACGGUAUCGUGGCCCUUUCUUCUUGAAACCCUAUGGCGCAUUGGGUUUGUCCACUGCUGGUGCAAAUGGAUCUCUAUUCUCCUCUCCACGGCAUCUACCCAGGUCCUCAUCAACAGCAACCCCGGGUCGCUGAUACCCCACGUGCAAGGUCAUCUUCAGGGCGACCCCGUUUCACCUAUGCUCCUUGUUGUGGUCAUCGACAAGCUCAAAUCGCUGCUUCAGCAUGCCACGCUACCGGCAUCCUCAUAA